rnacentral:rRNA from 1 species
UACGUAGGGGGCGAGCGUUGUCCGGAAUUAUUGGGCGUAAAGCGCGCGCAGGCGGUCCUUUAAGUCUGAUGUGAAAGCCCACGGCUUAACCGUGGAGGGUCAUUGGAAACUGGUCGACUUGAGUGCAGAAGAGGGAAGUGGAAUUCCAUGUGUAGCGGUGAAAUGCGUAGAGAUUAGGAAGAACACCAGUGGCGAAGGCGACUCUCUGGACUGUAACUGACGCUGAGGCGCGAAAGCGUGGGUAGCAAACAGGAUUAGAUACCCCCGUAGUCCCU